AUGGCUUUUUGCGCAUAUAGAAUAAAAGGUCCAACCUGCCCAGUGACAUUAGUUUAACGGCCGCGGUAUUUUAACCGUGCUAAGGUAGCGUAAUCACUUGUCUUUUAAAUGAAGACCCGUAUGAAAGGCGUCACGAGGGCCCUACUGUCUCCUUUUUUAAGUCUAUGAAAUUGAUCUACCCGUGCAGAAGCGAGUAUAAACACAUAAGACGAGAAGACCCUGUGGAGCUUAAGAUAAAUAACUAACUGUGCCUAGCAACUCCCAUAAGCAGCAUAUAAGCAUAACAGUCCUAGUUAAAGUAUCUUCGGUUGGGGCGACCAUGGGGGAUAAAAAAGCCUCCAAGAAGAACCAGGGGGUAAGUCCAACCAACCCCUAAGAGCCAAGAGCUACAGCUCAAAGCAACAGAAAAUUCUGACUAAUAAUGACCCGAGCAACGCUCGAUCAACGAACCAAGUUACCCCAGGGAUAACAGCGCAAUCCUUUCCAAGAGCCCAUAUCGCCGAAAGGGUUUACGACCUCGAUGUUGGAUCAGGACAUCCUAGUGGCGAAAAUUCUACUAAGGGUUCGUUUGUUCAACGAUUAAAGUCCUACGUGA
rnacentral:rRNA from 1 species